GGGUGGAUAGCUCAGUGGUAGAGCAUUCGACUGCAGGUCGAGAGAUCUCCGGUUCAAAUCCGGGUAUCCC
rnacentral:tRNA from 1 species